AACUAUAUAAUAUUAAAAUUCUGCAUGUGGCAUAAAACAUAUUUUAAUGGAGAAAUUAAAUUUUAUAUGAAGUUCCUAGAUGAUUUAAAGCUGUAAGAAGAAUAAUAAUGAAUCAUAAGAAAACUUGCUGCUACAGAUAUCAAAAAGGAAUGUUACCAUCCCUCAUGCUAAUCCUUUUCAUUUUAAAUAAACAGGAUCUAAAAAAAAUAAUUUUUUCCCCCUUCCUGGACUUUUUAAUGAUCAUCAUUCUGACUGACAUGCGAUGGUAUCUCAUUGUGGUUUUGAUUUGCAUUUCUCUGAUGACCAGCGAUGAUGAGCAUUUUUUAUGUGUCUG
rnacentral:lncRNA from 1 species